AUCAAACCCUCCAAAUCUAAAAUCUUUUCAGCAUUACGUUCUCUCUCACCCACCAUCUCUGAACCGCACACGGCAGCGCCGCCGCUUCACCAGCAUCAGCUCACCGAGAUCCACUAUAUCUGGUAGUUCCAACGAUUCUAAAUCUGAGUUUUUCAAUCACCCCCAUAUCACCCAGUUUCUCUUUCUAAACAUAUUCAAGAAAUUGUAUAUUAUUUAUUGUUAUUACAAAUUAAACCCAAUUUAUGUACUCUUGAUCUAAGAUUUGCCUCCUUUCUUUCACUGUUUGGGCCGUUUAUCAUAAUUUCGUGUCUUUUUUGUGUAUAAAUUUUUUUCGACUAUUUUGCUCAAGUGUGUGCUGACGUGGCAAGCAUUUAAUUAUACUUUCCACUUCUUUUAUAGGAUAUUCGCUCCUUGCCCGAUUUGUUUUGGGAUUUCGAUUCAAGGUAAAUAUCAUCUUAUUGUUUGGGUUUACAUCUCAUUUCGAUUCAAGGCAAUGCAUGUCCAUAAUAAGCUCUUAAAGGAGUCCACAUUCUUGGGUCAUGUUUAUUGGGUCACAGUUUCUCAGUAGUUCAGCAUUUACAAGUUGCAGAAUGAUAUUGCCCAUGUCAAAACUAUAUUUCUCAUGUGAGAAUGACGAGAGGAGAAGGGCAACUGAACUCUUCCAAGCAGUCAAGGAGAGGGGGAGAUUUGUACUUAUAGUAAAUGAUGUCUGGAAUUAAAUCGACGCAGAGGAGAUUGGUAUUCAAUGGAUGCAAGUUGGUCAUAACAAGUCUUUCUAACGAAGUUUGUCAUUGGAUAGGUUGUCAGAAGAUUAUAAAAGUGAACACACUACCCGAACAAGAAGCUUGGGAAUUAUUCUUGAAGAAACUUGGCAGAGUUGAACUUCAUCCACGAGUAGAAGGGAUUUGCAAGAAA
rnacentral:lncRNA from 1 species